GACCCGAGCGAGACAAAGAAGUAAGUCACCUGUUCCUAUCCGAGCUUAAGCGAAGGACUCCAGGUGGGCAUUAUUUUGAGUAUACAGUUUAAGAGCUUUUCUAAACUGUUUUAAAUGAUGAUGAGAUUAUAAGAUGUUUUGAGAUAAAUGAUGUUUAUGAACUGUUUGACUUGCCAAAAUUUUGAUGAUAAGUUUGUAUGUUACCCUCUACUGAUGAGACGAAUUCGGUCCUGCCACAAGCGGGAUUUUGUGCACAGAUGUGACUGUGAGCCGUCUUCGGGUCGGCCAGUCACGGUACUUGAGAGGGAGGCCUACUUCUCAGUAUCGAUAAUAAUGAUGAUGUUGUAGACGUGGUACAUACAUGAUGAAUAUUUUUUGACUGCAGUCAUUUCUUUAUGAUGUUAUGAUGUUUAAAACUGCAUGCACAGAUUCUUGAUGCUAAGCUUAUUUCUGUGUAUUGCUGAAGAUAUGGCAAGUUUUCAAACAUAUAGCUCUAAGAGCGCCUUUGAUGUUUUUCCGGCGUUUGCCCACUGAGUAUUAUUACUCACGCCCUGCAUAUAUUUCUAAAUGUGCAGGCUAAGCAACGGAGCGAGAUUGGACUGGUGCUGGUGGGGAUGGUUUCACCGAUGAAGUUUUCCUUGAUUGUUUUCCCUUGAUGUUAGAGUCUUAAGGAUGUUGAUAAAACCUUAGUGAAAUGUUACAAUGUUUUUCUUGAGUCAAGCAAUAUACUCACGGUUAUGUGUUUCCAUACAUAUAAUCGGUUCGCCUUUUGCUGCGAUACUCUGCAUUUUAUGCUUCUUGAUGAAAAAUGAGCUAUACCC
rnacentral:lncRNA from 1 species